CUACGGGUUGCAGCAGUAAGGAAUAUUGGUCAAUGGGCGCAAGCCUGAACCAGCCAUGCCGCGUGAAGGAUGACGGCCCUAUGGGUUGUAAACUUCUUUUGUACGGGAAAAAACCACCGGUCGUGUAUCGGUGCUGAUGGUACCGUAAGAAUAAGCAUCGGCUAACUCCGUGCCAGCAGCCGCGGUAAUACGGAGGAUGCAAGCGUUAUCCGGAUUCAUUGGGUUUAAAGGGUGCGCAGGCGGAAUAAUAAGUCAGCGGUGAAAGCCUACAGCUUAACUGUAGAACUGCCAUUGAUACUGUUAUUCUAGAGUGUUGUUGAGGUAGGCGGAAUGUGUCAUGUAGCGGUGAAAUGCUUAGAUAUGACACAGAACACCGAUCGCGAAGGCAGCUUACCAAGCAACAACUGACGCUCAUGCACGAAAGCGUGGGGAUCAAACAGGAUUAGAUACCCGUGUAGUC
rnacentral:rRNA from 1 species